GCGCGAGUGCUGUAAUUUGGUAGCCAGGCCGGAUUGAGGUUCCGGUGCCGCAAGGCGUGGAGGUUCAAGUCCUCUCUCGCGCA
rnacentral:tRNA from 2 species